rnacentral:misc_RNA from 1 species
GACUUUGGAACUUGGGC